GACGAACGCUGGCGGCGUGCCUAAUACAUGCAAGUAGAACGCUGACGGAGGAGCUUGCUUCUCUGGAUGAGUUGCGAACGGGUGAGUAACGCGUAGGUAACCUGCCUGGUAGCGGGGGAUAACUAUUGGAAACGAUAGCUAAUACCGCAUAAGAGUAGAUGUCGCAUGACAUUUGCUUAAAAGGUGCAAUUGCAUCACUACCAGAUGGACCUGCGUUGUAUUAGCUAGUUGGUGAGGUAACGGCCCACCAAGGCAACGAUACAUAGCCGGCCUGAGAGGGUGAUCGGCCACACUGGGACUGGGACACGGCCCAGGCUUCUACGGGAGGCAGCAGUAGGGAAACUUCGGCAAUGGGCGGAAGUCUGACCGAGCAACGCCGCGUGAGUGAAGAAGGUUUUCGGGUCUGAAAGCUCUGUUGUAAGGGAAGAACGAGUGUGAGGGUGGAAAGUGCACACUGUGACGGUAUCUUACCAGAAAGGGACGGCUAACUACGUG
rnacentral:rRNA from 1 species